AGGAGCCGCGGUAAUUCCAGCUCCAAUAGCGUAUAUUAAAGUUGUUGCAGUUAAAAGCUCGUAGUUGAAUUUCGGGGUUAGCAGGUCGGUCGUGCCAUCGGUAUGAACUGGUCUCGCUGAUCCCUCCCUCUUGACGAACUGUGAUGCCAUUAAUUUGGUGUCGCAGGGAAUCAGGACUGUUACUUUGAAAAAAUUAGAGUGUUUAAAGCAGGCUCACGCUUGAAUACAUUAGCAUGGAAUAAUGAAAUAGGACGUUUGAUCCUAUUUUGUUGGCUUCUAGGAUUGACGUAAUGAUUAAUAGGGAUAGUUGGGGGCAUUAGUAUUCAAUUGUCAGAGGUGAAAUUCUUGGAUUUAUUGAAGACUAACUACUGCGAAAGCAUUUUGCCAAGGAUGUUUUCAUUAAUCAAGAACGAAAGUUAGGGGAUCGAAGACGAUCAGAUACCGUCGUAGUCUUAACCAUAAACUAUGCCGACUAGGGAUCGGAUGAUGUUAAUUUUUUUCAAUGACUCAUUCGGCGCCU
rnacentral:rRNA from 1 species